rnacentral:rRNA from 1 species
AGUGAACGCUGGCGGUAGGCCUAACACAUGCAAGUCGAACGGCAGCACAGUAAGAGCUUGCUCUUACGGGUGGCGAGUGGCGGACGGGUGAGGAAUACAUCGGAAUCUACUUUUUCGUGGGGGAUAACGUAGGGAAACUUACGCUAAUACCGCAUACGACCUACGGGUGAAAGCAGUGGAUCUUCGGACCUUGCGCGAUUGAAUGAGCCGAUGUCGGAUUAGCUAGUUGGCGGGGUAAAGGCCCACCAAGGCGACGAUCCGUAGCUGGUCUGAGAGGAUGAUCAGCCACACUGGAACUGAGACACGGUCCAGACUCCUACGGGAGGCAGCAGUGGGGAAUAUUGGACAAUGGGCGAAAGCCUGAUAGAGCAAUACCGCGUGAGUGAAGAAGGUCUUCGGGUUGUAAAGCUCUUUUGUUGGGAAAGAAAAGCAGUAGGUUAAUACAUCGCUGUUUUGACGGUACCUAAAGAAUAAGCAACGGCUAACUUCGUG